rnacentral:rRNA from 1 species
UACGUAGGGUGCAGGCGUUAAUCGGAAUUACUGGGCGUAAAGCGUGCGCAGGCGGUCUGCUAAGAGAGGUGUGAGAUCCCCGGGCUUAACCUGGGAACUGCGCUUCUAACUGGCAGGCUUGAGUGUGGCAGAGGGGGGUGGAAUUCCACGUGUAGCAGUAAAAUGCGUAGAGAUGUGGAGGAACACCGAUGGCGAAGGCAGCCCCCUGGGCUAACACUGACGCUCAUGCACGAAAGCGUGGGGAGCAAACAGG